UCCAAAAAAUGUCCUUAUUUAAUCAAUAACAUAACAUUACAUUAAAUGUUUAAAUAAAAAACGAAAAUUUAUGUGUUUCUGUUUUUGUGUACCGCAGAUGUGUUGCUACCCUUCCAUUAUGAGCCCUUGCUUGUCUUGCUUACCCUUCUGUAUUAAAGGUAUGAGUUUCUGUCGAUGUUUUGUCGUUAACUAUGACUCGGAUGACGAAAGGAUACGCGAUAAUAAACCAAUAUGAGUAAACCUUAAUGAUAGUGUAAAAGCUAAUAUUGAAGAAUUAAAAAUAUAUCGUAU